GACGAACGCUGGCGGCGUGCUUAACACAUGCAAGUCGAACGAAGUGGCGAAAGGGUGAGUAAUACGUGGGUAACCUGCCCUCCUUUUUGGGAUAAGCCUUGGAAACGGGGUCUAAUACCGAAUAAGGGGGGGUGGGCUGGCGGCCUAUCAGCUUGUUGGUGGGGGGAUGGCCUACCAAGGCGGUGCCGGGUAGCCGGCCUGUGAGGGGGCUCGGACGCAUAGCGACUGAGAUACGGCUCAGAUACGUACGGGAGGCAGUAGGGGGGCAGCAUGCACGAUGGGUGAAAGCCUGAGGCAGCGAUGACGCGUGGGGGAUGAAGGCGUGAGGGUUGUCAACCGGUUUCGAUAUCGAACGGGUAGGUGCAGAAGAAGCGCCGGCUAACUACGUGCCAGCAGCCGCGGUAAUAC
rnacentral:rRNA from 1 species